ensembl:snoRNA
AGGGUGUGCUGAAACAGGGGGGCUAAAGAAUGGUUCUUUUGUGUAUAACACAGCCAACAGGGAUCUCAAUUCAUUGUGAUGGGGAGCACACAACUUGUGUCCUCUAUGAACAAAUGCCCUAAACGU